rnacentral:lncRNA from 1 species
UAACAUACUGUUGUUUUCAACAGGCUAGUGCUUAUGAUUUGUAAAAGAACUCUUCAGAAAUGAGUUCAAUUUUACCAUGAAUUGGGACAUUUUCCAUUUCUUUCUAUUCCAUAGAGCAGUUUACUUGUCAUGAGCUCUGUCUUUUGAAAACCUGAAAGCCUGCAAUAAAACCAGCUGCACCUGGUGCAUGGGAUAGGCAUGGAAUUGAGGAGAGAGCUCAAACUACGGUCAGCCCUCUGUAUCCUCGGGUUCUGGAUCCUUGGAUUUGACCAACUGUGCAUCAAAAAUAUUUGGAAAAAGGAAGGAUUCUGGAAGACAUAGGAGGAGACGCCAGCAUUUCGCCCUCCAGCACCUCCUGCGGGCUGUGGUCCGCUUCCGGCCUCACUCGAGCAGACCCCGCCCUCCCAGAGGCCGUUUGUCCAAGUCACGUGAUCGUCGAAUCUGUUGACCUGGCGCCACCGGAAAAAGAAAUUCCCGGGCCCUGGCUUCUUGGCCUGAUGGCACUGCUAGCCUUGAAGCCUCCAGCCUGCUGGAUGCCUCCAUCCCCGGCUAUGCUGUGGCUCUCCUCAUUCUAGGCCUCCUGCUCGUCACAUUCACCCUUGUCCUGGUGCUAAAGUGGAGGGCCUCCCAUGGGGUGUUCAGCCUGGGUGUGUAGAAGCACACAGUGUGGUACAGAGGACCCUCUCCAGACAGGUGACCCCUCAUGCUGCUGCUCCCUCUGCUGAAACCCAAACUGCAAACCUCUCCUCUCCCUGCCUUCACCUUGCCCCACGGCUUCCACAGACAGUGCCUCAACCCCGAGGAAUGAAUCCGAAGUUCCAACACCACUGACUUUCCCAGGAACUCAGAGCCAGAGAGGGCCAAGGACCAGCUCGAGGACACACAGCCAGGGCUUCUUCCCUCCGAAACCCCCAAGGACUGGACUUGCAGGGCUGGGACAGAGGUGGGGUGGGGGAAAGCAAUGCCUUGUCAACCCACGUGGGGAGCCCCACUCCCAUCCCCAAGGUGCAUAAAGUUGAGGAACACCCCUGCUCCCACGUCCAUGCUCAUUCAGGGCCCUGCUCCA